CACAGCCAUACACACUCAACCACACACACUCAACCACACAGACACAACCACACCCACACCACAUUCAACCACACACACACAGCCACACACACACACACAGCCACACACACACACACACACCACACACACACACAACCACACGCACACCACACAUACACACAACCACACACACACACCAUACACACUCAACCACACACACACCACACACAUACAACCACACACACACCACACACAACCACACACACACCACACACACACACAACCACACAUACACACAACCACACACACAACCACACACACAACACACUCAACCACACACACACACAGCCACACACAUACACACACACAGCCACACACACACAGCCACACACACAACCACACCCACACCACACUCAACCACACACAUGCAGCCACACACACACACACACACCACACAUAACUACACACACACACACCACACACACCACACACACAACUACACCCAAACCACACACGCACCACACCCACAUAGCCACACACACACACAGCCACACACACACCACACACAACCACACACAUACCACACACACACUACAUACACACACAACCACACACACAACCACACCCAAACCACACACGCACCACACCCACACAGCCACACACACAACCACAUCAAAACCACACGCACACCACACCCAUACAGCCACACCCACACACAGCCACACAUACUUAACCACACACACAACCACACACAAUGAGACAACCACACACACAGCCACACAUACACACCACACAACCACACACACACAACCACACACACCACACACACACAACCAUAUACACACCACACACACAGCCACACACACACCACACACACACACUUGCACACACAUUCUCACCACUAGAGGGUACUAGAAGUCUUCCCAGCCUAGAAACUCAUUUGCUGAAACUGAUGAAUGUACGCGUGCGCACGCGCACACACACACAUGCACACACAUGCACACAGUCAAAAAAAAAAAGGAUAGAAAGAAAAAGAAUAGAAAACGUCUGAAAAAAUAUAGCAGUUGAUGGUA
rnacentral:lncRNA from 1 species